GGAUCUAGGGAAAAUUGUCUACCUCGCUGGGUCUGCCUGUCUGCCUGCCUGCCUGCCUGCCUUCCUUCCUUCUUUCUUUCUUUCCUUCUUUCCUUCCUUCCUUGUUUUCCUUUCUCUCUCUCUCUCUCUCUCUUUUCCGUUAGAGACAAGGUCUCGCUCGGAUCUGCACGCCCAGGCUGGAGUGCAGUAACGCCAUCGCGGCUCACUGCAGCCUCGAGCUCCUGCCCUCAAGCGAUCCUCCCACCUCAGCCUCCUGAGUAGCUGGGACCACAGACACGCGCCACCACAACCGGCCAAUUUUUAGGGUUUUUUUUUUUUUUUUUUUUUUUCUGUAGAGACGGGGUCUCGCGAUGUUGCCCAGGCUGGUUUUGAACACCUGGGUUUAAGAGAUCCUCCAUCGACCUCCCAAAGUUCUGGGAUUAUAGGUGUGAGGCGUUGGGUCCAGGCCCCGGGUUUUCCAUGUGUGUGUGUGUGUGUGUGUGCGUGUGUGUGUUUUUAAUUGAGACGGAGUCUUGCACUGUCACCUGGGCUGGAGUGUAGUAGCUUGAUCUUGGCUCACUGCAACCUCUGCCUCCCAGGUUCAAACAAUUCUUCUGCCUCAGCCUCCCGAGUAGCUGGGAUUACAGGUGCCCGCCACCAUGCCCAGCUAAUUUUUUGUAUUUUUAGUACCGAUGGGGUUUCACCAUGUUGGCCAGGCUGGUUUCGAACUCCUGAUCUCGUGAUCCGCCCACCUCUACCUCCCAAAGUGUUGGAAUUACAGGCGUGAGCCACCACGCUCGGCCUUCCUUGUCUUUAUUUUUGAUUUACUUCCUAUCAAAAGGCGUGUGGCACCCGUCUUUAGGGGGGGUUCAAACCCCGAAUCUGCCUCCUGCCAGUUCAGCGCCAGUAGGCGCUUACUUAGUUCUCUGUGGUUCAGUUUCCUCUCUGUAAAAGGUAGUAAUAUAAUAGCACCUAUCUACCAGAUUAUCAUUAAGACUAAAUGCGGGGCCGGGCGCGGUGGCUCAUGCCUGUAAUCCCAGCAUUUUGGGAGACCGAGGUGGGCGGGUCAUGAGGUCAGGAAAUCGAGACCAUCCUGGCUAAGACUAUGAAACCCUGUCUCUACUAAAAAUAAAAAAAAAAACUAGCCGGGAGGCGUGGUGGCGGGCGCCUGUAAUCCCAGCUACUCAGGAGGCUAAAGCAGAUAACUGCUUGAACCCGGGAGGCAGAGGUUACAGUGAGCAGAGAUCGCGCCACCACACUCCAGCCUGGGCAACAGAGUGAGACUCCCUCUCAAAAAAAAAAAA
rnacentral:lncRNA from 1 species